UACGGAGGGUGCGAGCGUUGUCCGGAAUCAUUGGGCGUAAAGGGCGCGUAGGUGGCCACUUCAAGCGUGCGGUGAAAGUCGGGGGCUCAACCCCUGAUCGGCCGUGCGAACUGGGGGGCUGGAGCACUGUAGGGGCAGGCGGAAUUCCGGGUGUAGCGGUGGAAUGCGUAGAGAUCCGGAAGAACACCGGUGGCGAAGGCGGGCUGCUGGGCAGUUUUGCUGACACUGAGGCGCGACAGCGUGGGGAGCAAACAGG
rnacentral:rRNA from 1 species